rnacentral:lncRNA from 1 species
GAUUUCAAAGAAGAUUUUCAAGAUUAAUCUUCUGGGUAAGUGGUUUUACCUCCAACCCUUCAUUACCCAUUUAUUAUUUUGUGAUUUUAGCAUCAAAAUCAUUGAUUUCAAAUUCUAAAAUUGGGAAGUUUCUCAUGAACUUGGGUUUUAGCAAUUUGGACUUUUUAGUAUGAUUUCUAAAUCGUUUUUCGAUACAAUUUCGCGUGUGAAUUCCUAAAUCCUACCUAACAUGUUUUUCUAUAAAAAUUAAGAAUGAAUAAAAGAGCUUCUGUUGUUGGAUUCAUGAAUACUAAAUUUGUCAAACAAUUCCAAGAGCAGUAAUUCUUGUAAGCUCCUCCACUACCCUGAGCUGUCUACAAGAGAAAUGACAUUGCUGAGACCAAUGCUGCUAACAUGAUUCCUCUUGUACCCCAUUAAUCAUCCAAUCACAAGCAAGUUUGCUGCACAAACAGCAGUUCAGGUACAAAGCCCCACAAGUCCCAGGCCAUUAAUAAUUGCUUCAAAACCCUUCAUUUUAUAUAUCAAAUUUGCAAGCUCAAACACCCAACAAUGGAGGUCAACUUCGUACAAUAGCGAUGAAGAUAAGAAGAAAGAGAACAUCGUUUAAAUCCCUCAUUUUGUAGGUUUGUUGGAGGUUGUAUAGAUUAUGUAAAGAUUUUGUUGUUCUGUUUUGAAAUUGGAAUGGUAAUGCGAACUAAGAGUUUUAUUUCAUA